UGUUGAAACUAUAAAUUUAGGUACCCAGCU
rnacentral:piRNA from 1 species